CCAUUUUUAGAAAUAGUUUCUCUAUUUUUAGAAUUAGAGAAACUCAUUGGAUUUUUCCUUUCUUGUAAUGUCAGCUAUAUAUUUAAGAUGAUACGCCAUAUUUUAUUUAAUAUUCUUAGACUUACUGUCACAUGGUGAAGAGUUAUCCUUUAAAAACUCAUAACUGCAUAAGUCAAAGCAUGUGUACUGCUUUAAGGAAUAAACCUCAGAUAUUCUAAAGGCUGGAACUGGUGUUUCUGGGAAACAGACCUUCUCUUUACCUAAUCUCAGAUGAAAUACUCAAAAGUGUGUUUGGUGUUGUUUUGACAAGAUUUUGUACUUGGAGACAAGACAUAGUUAGUAUAGAAAGAAUAUCCAAGUGGUAGAGAAAACUCAGGAUAGCAUCAAGACCUACUGAGCUCAGCAAAGGGAGCUUCUUAUGCCUGGUGGAGCCCCAUUCAACAGCAGAGAUCCAAAAAUCUUACAAGACAAACAUACGCAAGACAAGCGAGCUGCUCAAGGAAGGAGUUGGCCAUGGUGCCUGCAGUAUUAGUCAGCCAUUACGCCCUCACGUACAGACUGUACGUAACUCAAGCACCUGCUCUCCUGUUGGCUUCCGCAGCAUUACAACACAAGCUCCAGAACACCCUGAGUUUCAGAACGGCGACAUAUGAUGCCAUGAUCUGGCUGCUGGAAAUAUCAUCUCUUACUUGAAAUGGCAGCAAAUGAUCUUUUGUUUUUCCUCCCAACCAAAAUCUCAUUAAGAUUGGUCUGCUGCUGCCCUGGGAUGUGUGGGUCUUAUGCCUCCCAUUCCCGGCACUGUUGGGAGGAACUCGUUACUAUGAGGCUCUUCAAAAUGUAAAGUGGUAAAAGAA